rnacentral:rRNA from 1 species
AGUGUUUGAUCAUGGCUCAGGAUGAACGCUGGCGGCGUGCUUAAUACAUGCAAGUCGAACGAAGCGACCGUGACGGAACCUUCGGGGGAAGAUGCGUUAGCUUAGUGGCGGACGGGUGAGUAACGCGUGGGUAACCUGCCUUAUACAGGGGGAUAACAUCUGGAAACAGAUGCUAAUACCGCAUAAGCGCACAGGAUCGCAUGAUCCAGUGUGAAAAGCUCCGACGGUAUAAGAUGGACCCGCGUCUGAUUAGCUAGUUGGUGGGGCAAUGGCCCACCAAGGCGACGAUCAGUAGCCGGCCUGAGAGGGUGGACGGCCACAUUGGGACUGAGACACGGCCCAGACUCC